rnacentral:ribozyme from 1 species
ACCAUAUAAAACGAAGAAGAAGGAAAUGGAUCCGAAGCUUUUGGUAGGAUAACAAAGGCUCUUUACAUCCUACUCUAUACGUUCUCCACGUGCAGGACGGUUACAUGUUAUACGAAAUUUCUAAGCUUGGGUAUACGAAGAAACUCACCCCCUUGGGAGGAUGAGUGAAAAACUAAACUAGACAGCG